CCUACGGGAGGCAGCAGUGAGGAAUAUUGGUCAAUGGACGAGAGUCUGAACCAGCCAAGUAGCGUGAAGGAUGACUGCCCUCUGGGUUGUAAACUUCUUUUAUAUGGGAAUAAAAUGUUCCACGUGUGGGAUUUUGUAUGUACCAUAUGAAUAAGGAUCGGCUAACUCCGUGCCAGCAGCCGCGGUAAUACGGAGGAUCCGAGCGUUAUCCGGAUUUAUUGGGUUUAAAGGGAGCGUAGGUGGAUUGUUAAGUCAGUUGUGAAAGUUUGCGGCUCAACCGUAAAAUUGCAGUUGAAACUGGCAGUCUUGAGUACAGUAGAGGUGGGCGGAAUUCGUGGUGUAGCGGUGAAAUGCUUAGAUAUCACGAAGAACUCCGAUGGCGAAGGCAGUUCACUGGACUGCAACUGACACUGAGGCUCGAAAGUGUGGGUAUCAAACAGGAUUAGAUACCCUUGUAGUC
rnacentral:rRNA from 1 species